AACGAACGCUGGCGGCGCGCCUAAUACAUGCAAGUCGAGCGAGAAGACGUAGCAAUACGUUUGUAAAGCGGCGAACGGGUGAGGAAUACAUGGGUAACCUACCCUCGAGUGGGGAAUAACUAGCCGAAAGGUUAGCUAAUACCGCGUACGCUCCUUGGACUUCGGUUCAGGGAGGAAAGCGAUACCGUGGGUAUCGCGCUCUUGGAUGGGCUCAUGUCCUAUCAGCUUGUUGGUGAGGAACGGCUCACCAAGGCUUCGACGGGUAGCUGGUCUGAGAGGACAAUCAGCCACACUGGCACUGCGACACGGGCCAGACUCCUACGGGAGGCAGCAGUAAGGAAUAUUGCGCAAUGGGCGAAAGCCUGACGCAGCGACGCCGCGUGGGGGAUGAAGGUCUUCGGAUUGUAAACCCCUUUCGGGAGGGAAGAUGGAACGAGCGAUCGUUCGGACGGUACCUCCAGAAGCAGCCACGGCUAACUUCGUGCC
rnacentral:rRNA from 1 species